rnacentral:rRNA from 1 species
GAUGAACGCUGGCGGCGUGCCUAAUACAUGCAAGUCGAGCGGACGGACGAUAAGCUUGCUUCUCUGACGUUAGCCGCGGACGUGAGAGUAACACGUGUAUAACGUACCUAUAAGACUGGGAUAACCUCGAGAAAGCGGAGCUAACCCCGGAUAAUAUUUUGAACCGCAUUGUUCAAAGGUGAAAUUCGGUCUUGCUGUCACUUAUAGCUGGAUCCGCGCUGCAUUAGCUAGUUGGUAAGGUAACGGCUUAUCAAGGCAACGAUGCAUAGCCGACCUAAGAGGGUGAUCGGCCACCCGGGAACUGAGACGCGGACCAGACUCCUACGGGAGGCAGCAGUAGGGAAUCUUCCGCAGUGGGCGAAAGCCUGACGGAGCAACGCCGCGUGAGUGAUGAAGGUCCUCGGAUCGUAAAACUCUGUUAUUAGGGAAAAACCUAUGUGUAAGUAACUGUGCACAUCUUGACGGUACCUGAUCAGAAAGCCACGGCUAACUACGUG